rnacentral:rRNA from 1 species
UACAGAGGUCCCAAGCGUUGUUCGGAUUCACUGGGUUUAAAGGGUGCGUAGGUGGGAAUGUAAGUCAGUGGUGAAAUCUCUGAGCUUAACUCAGAAACUGCCAUUGAUACUAUGUUUCUUGAAUUUUCUGGAGGUCAGCGGAAUAUGUCAUGUAGCGGUGAAAUGCUUAGAUAUGACAUAGAACACCAAUUGCGAAGGCAGCUGGCUACAGGGAUAUUGACACUGAGGCACGAAAGCGUGGGGAUCAAACAGG